rnacentral:rRNA from 1 species
AAAGAGUUCUAUAACUCCCAAACCCAUGUGAACAUACCUAACGUUGCCUCGGCAGGUCGCACCUACCUUGUAGCACCCUACCCUGUAGGGCCUACCCGGGAGGUGCGGGUAAGCCUGCCGGCGGCCCACCAAACUCUGUUUGAUAUUGAAUUCUGAACCUAUAACUAAAUAAGUUAAAACUUUCAACAACGGAUCUCUUGGUUCUGGCAUCGAUGAAGAACGCAGCGAAAUGCGAUAAGUAAUGUGAAUUGCAGAAUUCAGUGAAUCAUCGAAUCUUUGAACGCAUAUUGCGCCCAUUAGUAUUCUAGUGGGCAGGACCGUUCGAGCGUCAUUUCAACCCUUAAGCCUUCGUUGCUUAGUGUUGGGAGCCUACGGCAACGUAGCUCCUCAAAGUUAGUGGCGGAGUUGGUUCACACUCUAGACGUAGUAAUUUUUUAUCUCGCCUAUUAGUUGGACUAAUCCCCUGCCGUAAAACCCCCAAUCUAUAUCAAGGUUGACCUCGAAUCGGUUCAGACAAACUCGCUAAAUUGAAGCAUCUUAGUCAGCGAAGGAAAAGAAACCAACAGGGAUUGCCCUAGUAACGGCGAGUGAAGCGGCAACAGCUCAAAUUUGAAAUCUGGCCCUCGGGUCCGAGUUGUAA